rnacentral:tRNA from 1 species
GGGUUUAUAGCUCAGCUGGUUAGAGCACACGCCUGAUAAGCGUGAGGUCGAUGGUUCGAGUCCAUUUAAACCCACCA